AAGAAACCCUACCGCCGCCUCCUCUUCUCUUCUUCCUCUCCCCUUUCACCAACGGAGCAACCAUGGCCUGUCCUCCGCUCCUCCGAAUCCAACUCUUCGAUUCCGACUCCCACGCUCACCAGCUUCCUCCGGAGCCGCCGCAAGAAAGCUCUGACGAAGAGGACAUGGUUGCUUGUCAUCCAGAACUGAAACCACCUUCCCAAGGAAAAAGGAGGCAAUCUUCUCCUUGAAUUGCCUGUCUAUGUCUGUGUUUCUCCUUAUGGCUGUCCUCCAUAUUAUUCUUCUUGUGCUGCUGAAGAGACUCACCGACCUCCGGCGGCGACGUCUUCUUCUUCCCAUUGAAGGUCUCGGUCUUCUCCUUCAGCUCCUGCGGCAUGGGACGACGAGGUGGAGCUCGAGUCCUCGAGGAACUUGUGCCGCAUGGGACGCCCACCAAGAAAGCCCCCCUCGUCGCCCCGCCACCGCCACCGCCGCCGCCGAACAACCAAGAGUCUGAAUCUGAUUCUGAUUCCGAUGACGGCCAAAAGUCCGAUUCCAGUGACGACGAGGCGCUGCCGGUGCCGAACCCAGCGCUUCAGGCCAACAAGAAUGUGCCUCCGUCCGAUGAUGAUGAGGAUGACGACCAAGAGUCCGAUUCCGGUGAUGCCCGAGGUCGGUGAGUCUCCUCAGCAGCACAAGAAGAAGAAUAUGGAGGCCUCAGCCAAAGGGGACAGCCAUAAGCAUAGCAGGAGAAACACAGACAUAGACAGGCAAUUCAAGGAGAAGGCCUUCUACUUUUUCCUUGGGAAGGUGGUUUCAAUUCUGGAUGAAGAUCAUCUCGACUAGUUUAAGGAGGCUUUCUUGAAGCUUGCUGACAGCAAGGCCAGUGCCUUGGAUGCUAAGAUCAAGCAGCUGACUUUGGCUCAGGUCAGGGUGUCUUUGCAGGGGCGUGGCCUGGAGAAGGAACUGAUCAAGUUGCUGUCGGGCUUGCUCAAGUGAUCAUUAUAGAUUGAUUGACUGACCUUUCUCACCUCUAAUUUACCUUGCCAUCUUUUAGUUGUUGAUCUGCCUUUACCAUACAAGAUUUCCGUUUAGAAGUAAUCACUGUUAUCUCCAUAUUCCAUCGUGAUGCUGACUUGAGGUUCUAAUCUGUGGAGGCAGUAGUUUAGUUGUGAUAUACUGAUAUCCUUUUAGGAAGAGCUUGCUGGUAAGGUUCACAUUGCUUAAGAGCAGCUGCGUCCAUUUGUUGCCAAGGGGAUAUAUAAUAACUCAAAUGGGCAAGUUUGUACUUUAAUGGUUUUUGAGGGCAUCAAGCAAAGAAAAAACAAGCCCAAUGACCUAUCAAUGUCAAAAAUUGAGACAUGGAGAAAGCUUCAAGGAAGUACAGUAUGCUAAUGCACCUGGUCAUUUUGCUUUUGGUCUGGCUCAUAUCUUUAUGUUAUGUACAUACCAACCUCGUUGGUAUCGUCUCAUUUGGGUCCAAGAUGGACAUGUCUAAUCUACUGAUGUAAAUACUCUGGUGAUUUGGGACCACCAAGACUAGCCACUCUACCCCAUAUUUAGGUAUGAAGUAGCUUAUAUUCCACUGAACUACCUGCACAACAGUUAUUAAUCAUGGUAAACUUCAGUUAAGCUUCAUUCAGAAGCAUGCUGUUAUUCUGGUUAUGGUAUGAAUGAUGGUAUUGUGCGACUUCGACGGAA